GACGAACGCUGGCGGCGUGCUUAACACAUGCAAGUCGAACGAGAGCGUAGAGAAAGCUUGCUUUUUCUACAAUCUAGUGGCAAACGGGUGAGUAACGCGUAAACAACCUGCCCUACGGAUGGGGACAACAGCUGGAAACGGCUGCUAAUACCGAAUACGUUCCGAAAGUCGCAUGACUAUCGGAAGAAAGGAUGGCCUCUAUUUAUAAGCUAUCGCCGGAGGAGGGGUUUGCGUCUGAUUAGCUAGUUGGAGGGGUAACGGCCCACCAAGGCGACGAUCAGUAGCCGGUCUGAGAGGCUGAACGGCCACAUUGGAACUGAGACACGGUCCAGACUCCUACGGGAGGCAGCAGUGGGGAAUCUUCCGCAAUGGGCGAAAGCCUGACGGAGCAACGCCGCGUGAGUGAAGACGGCCUUCGGGUUGUAAAGCUCUGUUAUACGGGACGAAUAAUCUUGUGGUUAAUACCCAUGAGAAGUGACGGUACCGUAAGAGAAAGCCACGGCUAACUACGUG
rnacentral:rRNA from 1 species